CAGUAGCCGCGGGAAUACGAAGGGGGCUAGCGUUGUUCGGAAUUACUGGGCGUAAAGGGCGCGUAGGCGGCCAUUCAAGUUAGAUGUGAAAGCCCUGGGCUCAACCUAGGAAUUGCAUUUGAUACUGUUUGGCUUGAGUUCGGGAGAGGUGAGUGGAAUUCCCAGUGUAGAGGUGAAAUUCGUAGAUAUUGGGAAGAACACCAGUGGCGAAGGCGGCUCACUGGACCGACACUGACGCUGAGGCGCGAAAGCGUGGGGAGCAAACAGGAUUAGAUACCCCGGUAGUCCCUGUCUCUUAUAC
rnacentral:rRNA from 1 species